GAUGAAGAACGCAGCGAAAUGCGAUAAGUAGUGUGAAUUGCAGAAUUCAGUGAAUCAUCGAAUCUUUGAACGCACAUUGCGCCCCUUGGUAUUCCAUGGGGCAUGCCUGUUCGAGUGUCAUUUGUACCUUCAAGCUCUGCUUGGUGUUGGGUGUUUGUCUCGCCUCUGCGUGUAGACUCGCCUCAAAACAAUUGGCAGCCGGCGUAUUGAUUUCGGAGCGCAGUACAUCUCGCGCUUUGCACUCAUAACGACGACGUCCAAAAGUACAUUUUUACACUCUUGACCUCGGAUCAGGUAGGGAUACCCGCUGAACUUAAGCAUAUCAAUAAGCGGAGGA
rnacentral:misc_RNA from 1 species